rnacentral:rRNA from 1 species
UCCUAGUGAUUAGAGUUUGAUCAUGGCUCAGAACGUACGCUGGCGGCACGCCUAACACAUGCAAGUCGAACGAAGUAGCAAUACUUAGUGGCAGACGGGUGAGUAACAUGUAGGUAUCUGCCCUUUGGCCUGGAAUAACACGAGGAAACUUGUGCUAAUACCGGAUAAGUCUUUACGGAGAAAGCUUUAUGCACCAUUGGAUGAGCCUGCACUUGAUUAGUUUGUUGGUGGGGUAAUGGCCUACCAAGACUGUGAUCAAUAGCUGAUUUGAGAGGAUGAUCAGCCACAUUGGGACUGAGACACGGCCCAAACUCCUACGGGAGGCAGCAGUGGGGAAUCUUGCACAAUGGAGGAAACUCUGAUGCAGCGAUGCCGCGUGAGUGAAGAAGGCCUUUGGGUUGUAAAGCUCUUUCGUCGGGGAAGAAAAUGACUGUACCCGAAUAAGAAGGUCCGGCUAACUUCGUGCCAGCAGCCGCGGUAAUACGAAGGGACCUAGCGUAGUUCGGAAUUACUGGGCUUAAAGAGUUCGUAGGUGGUUGAAAAAGUUGGUGGUGAAAUCCCAGAGCUUAACUCUGGAACUGCCAUCAAAACUUUUCAGCUAGAGUAUGAUAGAGGAAAGCAGAAUUUCUAGUGUAGAGGUGAAAUUCGUAGAUAUUAGAAAGAAUACCAAUUGCGAAGGCAGCUUUCUGGAUCAUUACUGACACUGAGGAACGAAAGCAUGGGUAGCGAAGAGGAUUAGAUACCCUCGUAGUCCAUGCCGUAAACGAUGUGUGUUAGACGUUGGAAAUUUAUUUUCGGUGUCGCAGCGAAAGCGAUAAACACACCGCCUGGGGAGUACGACCGCAAGGUUAAAACUCAAAUGAAUUGACGGGGACCCGCACAAGUAGUGGAGCAUGUGGUUUAAUUCGAAGAUACGCGCAGAACCUUACCAACACUUGACAUGUUCGUCGCGACUCUAAGAGAUUAGAGUUUUCGGUUCGGCCGGACGAAACACAGGUGCUGCAUGGCUGUCGUCAGCUCGUGUCGUGAGAUGUUGGGUUAAGUCCCGCAACGAGCGCAACCCUCACUUUUAGUUGCCAUCAUUUAGUUGGGCACUCUGAAAGAACUGCCAGUGAUAAGCUGGAGGAAGGUGGGGAUGACGUCAAGUCCUCAUGGCCCUUACGUGUUGGGCUACACACGUGCUACAAUGGUAUCUACAACAGGAAGCAAGACUGCGAGGUCAAGCAAAUCCUUAAAAGAUACCUCAGUUCGGAUUGCACUCUGCAACUCGAGUGCAUGAAGCUGGAAUUACUAGUAAUCGUGGAUCAGCGUGCCACGGUGAAUGCGUUCCCGGGUCUUGUAGACACCGCCC